rnacentral:tRNA from 1 species
UUUGGUAGCUCGCAAGGCUCAUAACCUUGAGGUCACGGGUUCAAAUCCCGUCUCCGCAAAAUUUUUUGACAAAAAA